rnacentral:rRNA from 1 species
AUUGAACGCUGGCGGCAGGCUUAACACAUGCAAGUCGAGCGGUAAUAGAACUAGCUUGCUAGUUGCUGACGAGCGGCGGACGGGUGAGUAACGCGUAGGAAUCUACCUAGUAGUGGGGGAUAGCCCAGAGAAAUUUGGAUUAAUACCGCAUACGCCCUACGGGGGAAAGGAGGGGAUCUUCGGACCUUUCGCUAUUAGAUGAGCCUGCGUCGGAUUAGCUAGUUGGUGGGGUAAAGGCUCACCAAGGCGACGAUCCGUAGCUGGUCUGAGAGGAUGAUCAGCCACACUGGGACUGAGACACGGCCCAG